rnacentral:misc_RNA from 1 species
GCGUAAACUACAUUGAACGUGAUCGUAUCGCUCGAUAGUUUUCCAUAACAUUUUUUCGGUGUCUCUGACUCUCCCAAUGCUCCUAUAGAUAGGAACAGCAGAGAUUCUAUCAAAGGCUCAGCACCAUGAAAACGAAUGAAGAAUAUCUAAUCCAAGUAUAGAAAUCUGAGCAGAAAUUUGAACGAUGUUUACAACUUGUCAGAACUGAGCUGCAAUCACUUACCCCCUCCACUUCACUUAACCUCUACAUCAAUUUCUUCUGAAGCCACGUACACAAAGCCGUCGAUUACGUUAGCCAGAUACCCUAAAACGCGUACUCGGAAUCGAGAUCACGAACAGAACAAAAGGAUCAACGAGGUAUAAAGGAAAAAAGGGAGUUAUGGAAAUCGCCCUAACACGCUCGGUAUAUCCUUCGCUUGCAAAAUUUAAUGCCACUGAUUAUCGCAUCGAGGUUUGCUUUAUCCAUGGAUUGCACGGUGGUCUCGGAAUUUUGGAUGCUUCUUGCAUACAGUCGUUUGAUAACGUAUUAUUAAUAAACGCGAUACGCAGAGAUAAUGUUGCAGACGGAAAGCGAGGAAUGAUAGAGGAUUUUCUUUAUUCUUUUUUUUUGCUAUUGGUCAGUCAAGGCAUAGUAUUUGUAAUGAAAACGGGUUUUUUUUAUGAUUUCAGAGCUAUUUUAACGUUGCCUUACUUUCACUUCGAGUUAUUUAAGGAGAUCAGUGUUCAAUCGCUAUGGAGUGAUUAGGUUAUGAAGAAAUAUAUUUAAUGGAGUCAUGUAGACAUAGGAAUAAUCUGAGAGUGGAAAAGGGAAGGACGGUGAAUUGAGUAUGAUCUUAUACUUACUGGGUAUCACCUUGAGUAUACAAAGUGGAACGUUAACAAUUUUUAAA